rnacentral:rRNA from 1 species
UUAAUUGAAGAGUUUGAUCAUGGCUCAGAUUGAACGCUGGCGGCAGGCUUAACACAUGCAAGUCGAGCGGUAGCACAAGAGAGCUUGCUCUCUGGGUGACGAGCGGCGGACGGGUGAGUAAUGUCUGGGAAACUGCCUGAUGGAGGGGGAUAACUACUGGAAACGGUAGCUAAUACCGCAUAACGUCGCAAGACCAAAGAGGGGGACCUUCGGGCCUCUUGCCAUCAGAUGUGCCCAGAU